rfam:Allokutzneria albata strain DSM 44149 genome assembly, chromosome: I
CAGCCGGUGCGAGUCCGAUCCGGGUAGCUGCCAGGGGCCCAGUAGCAGGCUGGCGGCGUGGUCUGGAAACGGGUCGGGUCGGCGCCCGGCGUCGAAAGCCCUUGCGGGGAAGCCGAUCAGUCAGGCCGUGUGC